rnacentral:rRNA from 1 species
GACGAACGCUGGCGGCGUGCCUAACACAUGCAAGUCAAGGGGAAAGUUUCCUUCGGGAGGCGAGUACACUGGCGCACGGGUGAGUAACGCGUAGGUCAUCUGCCCCUAUCUCUGACAUAACCCCGAGAAAUCGGGGCUAAUAUCAGAUGAGGCAUCGCAAGAUGUCAAAGGUUUCGGCUGGAUGGGGAUGAGCCUGCGUCUGAUUAGCUUGUUGGUAAGGUAACGGCUUACCAAGGCAACGAUCAGUAGCUGGUCUGAGAGGACGAUCAGCCACACUGGAACUGAGACACGGUCCAGACUCCUACGGGAGGCUG